rnacentral:rRNA from 1 species
GACUCUGUGAAGACACGCGAGAGCUGUAGCAUAAGUGGGAGGCCAUGAACCCUCGUGGUUGUGUCGUGCCGACAGUGAAAUACCACUACUUUCAUCGUUUCAUUACUUAUACCCCGGUCAGACGGCAGCUAAAAUGGCAUUUACGCCAAAUGACAUUCAGUGUAAAUGCCAUUUAGGCACUGCUACACGGCAACUCAAAUGGCAUUUUACCUAAAUGCCAUUUCGGGUAAACAGAGUU